GACGAACGCUGGCGGCGUGCUUAACACAUGCAAGUCGAACGGAAAGGCCCUGCUUUUGUGGGGUGCUCGAGUGGCGAACGGGUGAGUAACACGUGAGUAACCUGCCCUUGACUUUGGGAUAACUUCAGGAAACUGGGGCUAAUACCGGAUAGGAGCUCCUGCUGCAUGGUGGGGGUUGGAAAGUUUCGGCGGUUGGGGAUGGACUCGCGGCUUAUCAGCUUGUUAGUGGGGUAGUGGCUUACCAAGGCUUUGACGGGUAGCCGGCCUGAGAGGGUGACCGGCCACAUUGGGACUGAGAGACGGCGCAGACUCCUACGGGAGGCAGCAGUGGAGAAUAUUGCACAAUGGGCGGAAGCCUGAUGCAGCAACGCCGCGUGCGGGAUGACGGCCUUCGGGUUGUAAACCGCUUUCGCCUGUGACGAAGCGUGAGUGACGGUAAUGGGUAAAGAAGCACCGGCUAACUACGUG
rnacentral:rRNA from 1 species